rnacentral:rRNA from 1 species
GACGAACGCUGGCGGCGUGCCUAAUACAUGCAAGUCGAACGAGAGCGACCGGUGCUUGCACUGGUCAAUCUAGUGGCGAACGGGUGAGUAACACGUGGGUAACCUGCCCAUCAGAGGGGGAUAACAUCCGGAAACGGAUGCUAAAACCGCAUAGGUCUUUGACCCGCAUGGUUUGAAGAGGAAAGGAGGCGCAAGCUUCUGCUGUUGGCUGCACCCGCGGUGCAUUAGCUAGUUGGUGAGGUAACGGCUCACCAAGGCCGCGAUCCAUAGCCGACCUGAGAGCGUGAUCGUCCACAUUGGCACUGAAACCCGGCCCAAGCUCCUACGGGAGGCAGCAGUAAGGGAGCUUCCACAAUGGACGCAAGUCUGACCGAGCAAGGACGCGUGAGUGACAAAGAUUUUCGGAUCAUAAAACGAUGUUGUUAGAGAAGAAUAAGUGCUAGCGUACCUAUUAGCGCCUUGACGGAAUCUAACCAGAAAGCCACGGCUAACUACGUU